CACAAAUCUUUUCCUUUUAAUUUGUUCUAUAAAAUCUACAUCUUCCCCUCUACUUUUGAAACCCCGUUGUUCUUUCCUCUUCGAGAAAAAGGAGCGGGAAGAGAAGAGAGAGCAACGACAUGAAAUCCACAAGCACCAUCACCUCCAUCUUCCUCGUGACGGCCAUGCUCGUCCUCGUCCUCGUCCUUUUUCUCCUGCCCACAACUCACGCAACCCUAAAAUCUAAUGUCAAGUAUGCGGAGGGGACGAACAACCACACCAACUACUUGAGUGUGCGGUGCUUCUCAUUCAGUGAUGAUGGUGAACCACCUUGCCUCGGGGGACCAAUACGAGUUGAAGAUGAUGAAGCGGGCGGUCUACCCUUCCUCCACCAUGUACAUUUGCUCCACUAACAUGGGCACCUUCGUCCCCUAGAAAGACGACUAGUGACGACUAUGAGACGGGCGAUUUGAUGAAGAUAGUGCAUAUAGAUGGGAACCAAACCUCAAUCUUUGUAUGUAUUGAGGCUAUUUUGCAAACUAGUGUUGUUUUUUGUACAAACAUUAAUGUUGGAUGGCAUGACUAGAUCUUUAUUUAAUCUAAUACAAUUUGAACUUGUGAUUGA